rnacentral:rRNA from 1 species
AUUGAACGCUGGCGGCAGGCUUAACACAUGCAAGUCGAACGAUGAUUAUCUAGCUUGCUAGAUAUGAUUAGUGGCGGACGGGUGAGUAACAUUUAGGAAUCUGCCUAGUAGUGGGGGAUAGCUCGGGGAAACUCGAAUUAAUACCGCAUACGACCUACGGGUGAAAGGGGGCGCAAGCUCUUGCUAUUAGAUGAGCCUAAAUCAGAUUAGCUAGUUGGUGGGGUAAAGGCCCACCAAGGCGACGAUCUGUAACUGGUCUGAGAGGAUGAUCAGUCACACCGGAACUGAGACACGGUCCGGACUCCUACGGGAGGCAGCAGUGGGGAAUAUUGGACAAUGGGGGCAACCCUGAUCCAGCCAUGCCGCGUGUGUGAAGAAGGCCUUUUGGUUGUAAAGCACUUUAAGCAGGGAGGAGAGGCUAAUGGUUAAUACCCAUUAGAUUAGACGUUACCUGCAGAAUAAGCACCGGCUAACUCUGUG